AGAGUUUGAUCCUGGCUCAGAACGAACGCUGGCGGUAUGCUUAAUACAUGCAAGUCGAACGAAAAAGCUCUUCGGAGUGAGUAGAGUGGCGCACGGGUGAGUAACACGUAGGUGACCUACCUUUUGGAGGAGGAUAAUUCCUAGAAAUGGGUUGUAAUACUCCGUAAUAAGUACAAAGCUGAAAGUAGUAUUUUAAAGGAUUUUCCUUCGGGGGAAUUCGCCAAGAGAUGGGCCUGCGGGACAUUAGCUUGUUGGUGGGGUAAUGGCCUACCAAGGCUGCGAUGUCUAACCGGUCUGAGAGGACGAUCGGUCACACUGGGACUGAGACACGGCCCAGACUCCUACGGGAGGCAGCAGUAGGGAAUAUUGCGCAAUGGGCGAAAGCCUGACGCAGCAAUACCGCAUGAGUGAGGAAGGUUUUCGGAUUGUAAAGCUCUGUCAGAGUGGAAAAACGGCGUAUGUUCGUAAGGGCAUGCGUGUGAUGGUACACUCAAAGGAAGCACCGGCUAACUUCGUGCCAGCAGCCGCGGUAAUACGAAGGGUGCAAGCGUUGUUCGGAUUUAUUGGGCGUAAAGCGCGCGCAGGCGGAUUUAUAAGUCAGGUGUGAAAUCUCGGGGCUCAACCCCGAAACUGCGCCUGAAACUGUGAAUCUAGAAUCCUAGAGAGGGGAAGGAGAAUUUCCGCA
rnacentral:rRNA from 1 species